rnacentral:lncRNA from 1 species
UGAGAAUGGGAAACCAGAAGUGAAAACUUGUGGACAAACCUAGCCCACACUCCAAAAAUAUUCUCUUGAAAUAGAGGAGGAGUUUGCAUUUAAUGUCACACUUUGAAUCUCUGGUUCUCUUGGGAAAGCAUCUCUACCUUAUUAAUAAGGAAACUUCUUUAGUGGUUGAAUAAUUGAGGCUUUUUCUGAGUUAAGCCCUGUUGUAGAGUUGGCUCUUUGCAAGUUGCAUAGUAGACUGUUUACAUAGUGCCUUAGUGAUCAUAAGAGGUUCAGCUUCUUCCCAAUGAGCCUAAAUUUCCUCUUACCAACUGAGAAAAAUCUGGUUCAUUUUCUAUCAAAUUUAAGUUUUGAAAACUCAGAUAAUUUAAAUCAUAAGAUGUUUUUCUGUUCAAGCAUUUUAAUUUGUCAUUUUGCCAAUGCCUAAUGGAAUACUUUUACACAGUUUUAUGAAGGGAAUGUCAGUAUUCUAAGUGCAUUCUCAAGAAAGGUAACUUUAUCGCUUAAUUCUUUAAUCAGAGUGAUUUUUUUUUUUUUUUUUUUUUUUUUGUCCUGUCUUUUAAGGCUGCACCCAUGACAUAUGGAGGAUCCCAGGCUGGAGGUCGAAUUGGAGCUGUAGCAACCAGCCUAUGCCCCAGCCACAGCAAUGCCAGAUCCAAGCCACGUCUGCAACCUACAUCAUAGCUCACAGCAACACCGGAUCCUUAACCCACUGAGCAAGGCCGGGGAUUGAACCUGUGUCCUCAUGGAUACUAGUCAUAUUCAUUUCUGCUGAGCCACAGCCAGAACUUCUAUCAGAGUGAUCUUAAUAUCUAAACGUUCCUUAAUUUGUACAGGGAAUUAAAUUUCCCUUCAUCCAAAAUGUUAGGGUCAGGAAACAAAACAGGGUAAAUAUCUAGAAAGAGAAAUCUUUCACCAAGCUAUCUUCUUGAAGCUGUGAUUGCUUACUUUCAUCAUAUAAAAAUAUUCUAGUACAUGUGAAACAGGAUAGGAGUAAUAAUGUAGAUAUAUAAUUACAUCUAACAUGAGUACUCCCACUACACUCUCCAGGACCCCAAGAACCAUGUGCGAUGCAUGACCUUCUGACAUAUAAUCUAAGUGAGGGCAGCAAUGAAAGUGCAUCUCUUAUUUCUUUAAGUUUAUGAGAUAAUCUAAUUCCAACAUGUUGGCCCCUUAACCCAAGGGAUGAUCUUGUGCUACCCCAAUUCAGAGAUCACUGGGUGAGAGAUCUAUCAUCCAUUCUUUGGUUUAUAAGAUGGUUCUAAGCAUUAACCCUGUAGCAAAUCAGAUCACCACAAUACUAUAUAACUGAAUUAUAUUCCAUCUCCUAUUCCCACUUUCAGAAUUACUCGUAUAAGUAUGCUUUAAGGCCAUGCUCUCAAAUUUUACAUAGACAUGCUUACAACAGAUAUUUGAAUAUCCCACUGUGCACCAAGCCAUUCUAAACACUGAGUGAUAUAAUGGGGGGGGGGGACAAAAAAAAAAAACCUUGCCUUCAUAGGAUUUAUAUUCUAGUGGGAAAAAUGGAAGUGAAUUUGAGAAAAUUAAAAGGUACAGUAUGAAAGAUAAUGAAUGGUGCUGAAGGGAUCAAAAAAGCAGAAAAGAGAUACGAAAUGUGGUAUGUGCGAAUGUGUGGAGUGUUUGCAAUAUUAAACAGGAUGGCAAAAGGAGCUAAAGAUCUAAAGGAACCGAAGGAGAAGAACAUUCGUUUAGGCAGAGGGAAGCAGAAGCUUGAGUCUGGCACCUUUGACCAUUGGGCCAUUCUGACACCAUUAGGCAGAGGAAACAGUGAUUACGAGGGUCCUGACAACAGAGGCAUGCUUAGAAUAUGUCUGUAACAGCAAAAAGGCCAGUGUGACCAUGUGGUGUAAUAAUAGGAGGAGUCCAAGAGGUAAAGUGACAGGGUGUGGGGCACGAGGAUGAAAACUAGAUCUUAGAGGGUUUCCUGAGACUUGGCUUUAAUUCUGAGUGAGAUGCUGGUCCUGUAAAAGGAUUUUGAGCAGAGAAAUGACAUGAUCAGACUUCAAUUUUAGUAGGAUCCAAAUAGACUGACGUGGAGCAGGAGGCCUGUUUAGAGACGUUGGCAGUAAUCCUGGGAAGAAAUGAUGGUGACUUAGGUCAAAGUGGGUGUGAUGGAGCUUUGAGGAGUAACCAGUAUCUGGUUAUGUUUUGAAGGUAAAACUGACAGUAUCUGCUGGCAGAUCAGAUAUGGAGUAUGAAAGAAGGAAGAGAAGUCAAGGAUGACUUGGCUUACUUAGCCUGAGCAACCAGAAGUGUCGGAUUAUCAUCUGAUGAAGUAGAGAAGAUUCUGAGAACAGGGUUUUUUGGUUUUUUGUUUUUGUUUUUGUUUUUUGCGGCAGGGGGUAUGGUGGAAUUUAGUCAUGGACGUGAGAUUGAGACUCCUCUUAGACAAGAUAUUGACCAAAAACCGUCUCUACUUUUGUCUUUUAAAUUGCUUAAUUUGGAUCGUGUUCUCCACGUACCCUAUGCUAGUUUAGAAACAAAAAAGCAUUCCUCCUGAUGAAUGGCCAGCUUCCUUUCAUUGAAAUGGAGAGUUGGGAUACCUCUCAUGUUUCUUUCUUUGCUUUGGCUGCUCUCUGAGGAAAUGAAGUCCUAUUUUCAACUGCAGUAAUUUCCUUCAGCCAACAUGGUACAGUUUCUCUCCCUUCCCACUCAUAUACACCUUUUUCCUUUGCUCUUACCUUUUUUUAAAGAAAGUUCUCAGUUGUAUUGAAGUUUCAUGUUUUGCUGCUUCAGAUCCUCUCUGGCAGUGGCAGAGCACAGUUGUGUUUGGUUUUAAAAAAAUUUCAUAUUUAAAUGUUAAUGGAAAGCAAAGAAUUCUUGAACCUAUUUUAAAAGUCCAGAUUUUAAUAUUCAGCUUCCUGUAAGGAAAUAUGCCUGUAUUUGAUAAUAUUGUCAGCAGAAAAUGCAGUAAAGAAGAUCAAAAGGGUUUUCCUAGUUAUCAUUAUAAGAUGUCGUGUCCAAACAUUCUGUUAGACGAUAUGAUGGGAAUGCUGGUUUGUUUAGGCUGACAUUAGAUUAUAAACCCAGCUAUGUGUGUUAGAGUUAAACUAUAGCCUAAAAUUCCUCACAGCUAAUAUUUGAGUGUUUGCUGUGUGUCGAGCACUGUUUAAAAAGCAUCACCUAACUAUAUCACUGAUAUUAUUUAAAACUCAAAAUAAUCCUAUGAGAUAGGCUCUGUUGUCUCUAUUUUACAAUAGAAACCAGGCUCAGCAAUGUCUAGUAAUUUACCUAAGUUUCACAUGGCUCAUAACUGGAGGGCUCAAAAUUUGAACCUUGGGUGUCUUGCUCCAUACCUGUGUACACAGUCACCACAUUUUGCUGUCUCCCCCCCACCACCACACACACACUUUUUAAUGGAAUUUGAAGUAUCUUAUAGUCAAUUUUAAAUAAUUUUUCAAAAAUGAUUUAAGGUGGCUUAUAAAAAUUAUAAUUAAGAAUAUUAAACAUCAAUAGUAAAACUUUUUUUG